UACGGAGGGGGCGAGCGUUAUUCGGAAUUAUUGGGCGUAAAGGGCGCGUAGGCGGCCUGGUAAGUCAAAGGUGAAAUCCCUCGGCUCAACUGAGGAACUGCCUUUGAAACUGUCAGGCUCGAGUCCGGGAGGGGGUGGCGGAAUUCCCAGUGUAGCGGUGAAAUGCGUAGAUAUUGGGAGGAACACCAGUGGCGAAGGCGGCCACCUGGACCGGAUCUGACGCUGAUGCGCGAAAGCGUGGGUAGCAAACAGG
rnacentral:rRNA from 1 species